rnacentral:rRNA from 1 species
UACAGAGGUCUCAAGCGUUGUUCGGAUUCAUUGGGCGUAAAGGGUGUGUAGGUGGCGCCGUAAGUCGGGUGUGAAAUUUCGGAGCUUAACUCCGAAACUGCAUUCGAUACUGCGGUGCUUGAGGACUGGAGAGGAGACUGGAAUUCAUGGUGUAGCAGUGAAAUGCGUAGAGAUCAUAAGGAAGACCAGUGGCGAAGGCGGGUCUCUGGACAGUUCCUGACGCUGAGGCACGAAGGUCAGGGGAGCAAACGGG